rnacentral:rRNA from 1 species
UACGAAGGGGGCUAGCGUUGUUCGGAAUUACUGGGCGUAAAGGGCGCGUAGGCGGUGUGCCAAGUCAGGCGUGAAAGCCCCGGGCUCAACCUGGGAACGGCGCUUGAGACUGGCACGCUCGAGUUCGGGAGAGGAUGGUGGAAUUCCCAGUGUAGAGGUGAAAUUCGUAGAUAUUGGGAAGAACACCGAUGGCGAAGGCAGCCAUCUGGACCGACACUGACGCUGAGGCGCGAAAGCGUGGGGAGCAAACAGG